UGCUGCCUUGUCAAAGGCUGCCCAAGUCAUCAAGGUACCCCUUCCCUUCAAAGUGAGGGAAGGGAGAGAGAUAUUCUGGAAGCCUCUCCGUGCAGUGGAGCUGAGAUUUCCCAGGACGCUGAGCUUUCCCAGUGGACAGCUUUUGAUGAGCACGAAGGGACCAGAGCAGACUUCUUUCCUUCUCCUGGACGCUAUGAGGAUCCAAAGCCAUACUACCGCUAAGGGCCCCUUAUGCCCAUCUGCCCCCUUGGCAAGUCCAGACGACUCAGUAAUUUAUCUUUGGAUGAAGAUUAGAUGCCCUAUGACCUGCAACCAGGAGAUUAUGUGUAUUGGAAAAGACAUCAUUUAAAGGACUCCCUCCAGCCUAGAUGGAAGGGCCCUUAUCAUGUACUCUUAACUAGCUCAUGUGCAGCGGAGAAAAAAAAAAACAAAACAGAAGGAAAUUGGCUCUUGGAUUCAUAUUUCUCACAUUAGAGGGGACCCAGCACUGGACUGGUCUAUAGAGAGGACUGCUGACCUCAAAUUCACCUUAAAAUAAUGCUCAAACAGAGGAGAAAUGACACCCAUGCCAGG